AUUGAACGCUGGCGGCAGGCCUAACACAUGCAAGUCGAACGAGUGGCGGACGGGUGAGACAUGUCGGGAAAACUGCUUGCUGGAGGGGGAUAACUACUGGAAACGGUAGCUAAUACCGAAUACCAUCGGUUGUGCACAGAUCGGCUUAGCUAGUAGGUGGGGUAACGGCUCACCUAGGCGACGACCCCUAGCUGGUCUGAGAGGAUGACAAGCCACACUGGAACUAAGACACGGUCCAAAAUCCUACGGGAUGAAGCAGUGGGGAAGAUUGCACAUUGGGCGCAAGCCUGAUGCAGCCAUGCCGCGUGGAUGAAGAAGGCCUUCGGGUUGUAAAGUACUUUCAGCGGGGAGGCGUUACCCGCAGAGGAAGCACCGGCUAACUCCGUGCCAGCAGCCGCGGUAAUUC
rnacentral:rRNA from 1 species